rnacentral:rRNA from 1 species
CGGCCUGCGGCGUGCUUACCAUGCAGUCGAACGAUGAAGCCCAGCUUGCUGGGUGGAUUAGUGGCGAACGGGUGAGUAACACGUGAGUAACCUGCCCUUGACUCUGGGAUAAGCGUUGGAAACGACGUCUAAUACCGGAUACGAGCUUCCACCGCAUGGUGAGUUGCUGGAAAGAAUUUUGGUCAAGGAUGGACUCGCGGCCUAUCAGCUUGUUGGUGAGGUAACGGCUCACCAAGGCGACGACGGGUAGCCGGCCUGAGAGGGUGACCGGCCACACUGGGACUGAGACACGGCCCAGACUCCUACGGGAGGCAGCAGUGGGGAAUAUUGCACAAUGGGCGAAAGCCUGAUGCAGCAACGCCGCGUGAGGGACGACGGCCUUCGGGUUGUAAACCUCUUUUAGCAGGGAAGAAGCGAAAGUGACGGUACCUGCAGAAAAAGCACCGGCUAACUACGUGCCAGCAGCCGCGGUAAUACGUAGGGUGCAAGCGUUGUCCGGAAUUAUUGGGCGUAAAGAGCUCGUAGGCGGUUUGUCGCGUCUGCUGUGAAAUCCCGAGGCUCAACCUCGGGUCUGCAGUGGGUACGGGCAGACUAGAGUGCGGUAGGGGAGAUUGGAAUUCCUGGUGUAGCGGUGGAAUGCGCAGAUAUCAGGAGGAACACCGAUGGCGAAGGCAGAUCUCUGGGCCGCUACUGACGCUGAGGAGCGAAAGGGUGGGGAGCAAACAGGCUUAGAUACCCUGGUAGUCCACCCCGUAAACGUUGGGCGCUAGAUGUGGGGACCAUUCCACGGUUUCCGUGUCGUAGCUAACGCAUUAAGCGCCCCGCCUGGGGAGUACGGCCGCAAGGCUAAAACUCAAAGGAAUUGACGGGGGCCCGCACAAGCGGCGGAGCAUGCGGAUUAAUUCGAUGCAACGCGAAGAACCUUACCAAGGCUUGACAUAUACGAGAACGGGCCAGAAAUGGUCAACUCUUUGGACACUCGUAAACAGGUGGUGCAUGGUUGUCGUCAGCUCGUGUCGUGAGAUGUUGGGUUAAGUCCCGCAACGAGCGCAACCCUCGUUCUAUGUUGCCAGCACGUCAUGGUGGGAACUCAUGGGAUACUGCCGGGGUCAACUCGGAGGAAGGUGGGGACGACGUCAAAUCAUCAUGCCCUUAUGUUCUUGGGCCUUCACGCAUGCUACAAUGGCCAGUACAAAGGGCUGCAAUACCGUAAGGUGGAGCGAAUCCCAAAAAGCUGGUCCCAGUUCGGAUUGAGGUCUGCAACUCGACCUCAUGAAGUCGGAGUCGCUAGUAAUCGCAGAUCAGCAACGCUGCGGUGAAUACGUUCCCGGGCCUUGUACACACCGCCCGUCAAGUCAUGAAAGUCGGUAACACCCGAAGCCAGUGGCCUAACCGCAAGGAUGGAGCUUCUAAUGUGAUCGUAAUGUU